rnacentral:lncRNA from 10 species
AAGAGAUCAGAAUUCAGCUUCCCCAGGGACAGCAAGGCCAAGAAGGUGUCCAGAUCCUGGCCUCUCUCCAGAUCUUGGACUCUCUCAAGGCCAAGACUCUCUCUCUUAAGAUCUCUAUCUCAAGGCCAAGAUCUCUCUCCAGAUAUUGGCCUCUCUCAAGGUACUUCCAAGAUCUCAGAGGGCCAUUCACUGUGGAUCUAAUAUGAAGACAGAGAAACCAGCCUUCCAGAGGAGCGGACACAUUUCCUUAGUCCCAGGAUACACUUUGUGUGGGAAUCCACAGAUCUGCCCUGAUGAUCAUGAAGGAAUGCGAAAGAGCCUGGUAAAACGAUAUGGACUUGUGCAAAUGCAAAGCAAUGGUGAAGUCAUCACGAACCGCACAGACUGGACAGAACUCCUAUCUGGCUGCAAUGGCUUGGGUUCAGUCAGCCCAGGGGCCAGAGAAUUGGCUACAAAGAGCUCUGGAGUGCCCCUCCCUCCAAAUAAAGUAUUCUAAGCGUGC